rnacentral:rRNA from 1 species
AUAUUGGCGAGAGACCGAUAGCGAACAAGUACCGUGAGGGAAAGAUGAAAAGCACUUUGGAAAGAGAGUUAAACAGUACGUGAAAUUGUUAAAAGGGAAACGCUUGAAGUCAGUCGCGUUUGCUUGGAUUCAGCCUUGCUUCGGUUUGGUGCAUUUCCUUGUGAACGGGCCAGCGUCCAUGUUGUCCGUCGGAAAAGGGGUGAAGGAAUGUGGCUCUUUCGGGAGUGUUAUAGCCUUUGCUCGUAUACGGCGUGUGAUAUGGAGUGGUACAGCAUGCUUCGGCGGUGCUUGUGCUGGCAUAAUGGCUUUAAACGACCCGUCUUGAA